AACUUAAGCAUAUCAAUAAGCGGAGGAAAAGAAACUAACAAGGAUUCCCCUAGUAACGGCGAGUGAAGAGGGAAGAGCCCAAGAUUGGAAGCUGGCGCCUUCGGCGUCCGCGUUGUAAUCUCAAGAAGUGUUUUCCGCUUCGGACCAGGCCUAAGUCCCUUGGAAAAGGGCAUCGUAGAGGGUGAGAAUCCCGUACAUGGCUUGGAGCGCCCGAGGCUUUGUGAUACGCUUUCCAAGAGUCGAGUUGUUUGGGAAUGCAGCUCAAAAUGGGUGGUAAAUGCCAUCUAAGGCUAAAUAUUGGGGAGAGACCGAUAGCGAACAAGUACCGUGAGGGAAAGAUGAAAAGAACUUUGAAAAGAGAGUUAAACAGUACGUGAAAUUGCCAAAAGGGAAGGGUAGGAGGUCAGAGAUGCGGUCCGGGAUUCAGCCUUGCUUCUGUUUGGUGUUUUUCCCGGUUUUCGCAGGCCAACGUCGGUUUUGGGCACUGGAGAAGGGUGGGAGGAAUGUGGCACCCCUCGGGGUGUGUUAUAGCCUCCUACUGGAUACAGCGACCGAGACCGAGGACAGCAGCGUACCCGUCAAGGGCGGGCCUUCGGGCACCUUUACGCUUAGGGCGUUGGCAUAAUGGCCCUCUACCACCCGUCUUGAAACACGGACCAAGGAGUCUAACAUGUAUGCGAGUCUUUGGGUGGCAAACCCGUAGGCGCAAUGAAAGUGAAUUCAGAUGGGAUCCGCAAGGUGCACCAUCGACCGAUCCUCACGUCUUUUAAGUCGUGGAUUUGAGUAAGAGCAUGCCUGUUGGGACCCGAAAGAUGGUGAACUAUGCCUGAAUAGGGCGAAGCCAGAGGAAACUCUGGUGGAGGCUCGUAGCGGUUCUGACGUGCAAAUCGAUCGUCAAAUUUGGGUAUAGGGGCGAAAGACUAAUCGAACCAUUAGGAAUGCUAGGUGGUUAAGAGGCGGCAUGAAAGUGCACGUCUAGUGAGCGUUGAGGCUCGCGACAUCGUCAAAUUGCGGGGACAUCCUAAAGCUUCUGCUACCAAACCAAGGUGGAAACACGCUUGGCGGCCAGGUUAAUUGCCUCGGGUAUGGUAAAAACGCAGAAGAUGCUGACAAUGGACAAUCCGCAGCCAAGCCCUACGGCUUCCCUUCCCGCUUCAUUGGGUGGGGGAGGCUACGGGUGCAGUUCACAGACUUGAUGGCGAUGGGUGCUUCCCAGCUGUGGGGGGGGUGCUUAAGAUAAAGUCGGUUCCCCCGCGAAAGCGGGUCCGGGUGGAAGAAAGAUCGAGGUCCCUCACUUUAGGCCUCUUUCCGGAGCCCCUGGAGCGGUGCGCCGUUGUGGCGCGCUUGCGGAGGCAAACGCUAGUAGCUGGUUCCUGCCGAAGUUUCCCUCAGGAUAGCAGAAACUCACAUCAGUUUUAUGAGGUAAAGCGAAUGAUUAGAGGCCUUGGGGAAGUAACUUCCUUAACCUAUUCUCAAACUUUAAAUGUGUAAGAAGCCCUUGUUACUUAAGUGACC
rnacentral:rRNA from 1 species